CUUUUCACCUGUACCUACUCAAGCAAUCACAAGCCAUGACUGUGGUGUCACUGGUGUCUUAUUAGUUAAUGAUCUCGUUAUCUAAUCAAGAGGGAGUGAUCGCUGUGCAUGGCAGCCAAUCACCACAAGCAGUGGGAGGGAUGAAAAGCUGAGAGGUUUUAAAUACCUGGAUUUUGGGCAUUGUCAUUUUUUCUCAGGUGAGCCUGCAGCCAAGACAUAUCCAGCCAAAGCCAGUUCCACUCAGGCUUUGGGGGCAGGCUGCUUUGAUCUUGUGCUUAGGGGCCACCUGCUUUGGAAUCUCACAGCCAUAGAUCUAAAAUGACAUCAGCUGCCUUGUUAGAUUUACACAGGUGACCAGUUUCAUUCUCCCAGGGAUGAUUACCCUUAGAAGAAGGCUGAGACGCAUCCUUUUGACAGUACUCACUCUGGGCAAAUUGUCAAGGACAACCCUUUUGGCAGCGCUUUCUCUAGGCAGAAGAUCAAGAUCCAUCCUCUCUGCACUCCUUUUUGUUUGCAGGAAGUCCAGGCCAGUCCUGUUCACAGUGCACCGCCUCUGCAAAAGGUCAAGACUUAGCCUACCUGUGGCGAUUGCUCUCUGCAGGACAGCUAAAUGGAUCCUAGGAGCUCUGCUUUCUGUCUGUCGGAGAUCAACACCCAUCAUUUCUGCAGCUGUCCGUCUAUCCAGAAGAUCCAAACCAAUCCUGUUGGCACUGCUCUCUGUCAUCAGAAGAUCCAAGCCCAUCCUUUCCAUGAUGCUGUGGUUCUGCAGAAGGUCCAAGCCCACUGCCUGGGCCCUGUUUGGUUUCAGCAAGGGGUUGAGACGCUUGUUGGUGGUUGCUGUGGAUGUUCAGAACCCAUGCGGGCAACUGUUGCUGCACUCAGCCAAAUCGCUCGGUCAAAGAUUUUAGCAGAAAUUCUGGGACAAUACUUUGAGACACCUCAGCUGUCAACAAGUGAGGCUUUGACUCAGUGUUACCAAUCAGUGCAGAUGGUCACUGUGGCUCUCAGUCAGUGCUCUUCCUCAGCACUGUCUGCCAUUUUGGCUCUUUGUAGAUGUGCCAUUCCAAUGAUCUGUGCCAUUAUGUCUCUCUGUAGGAGCUAUGGGCCUAUUGUAUCAGUUGUGGUUGCUUUGAGCCAGUGUUUAAUAGAAGUGUUCUCUACAAUUUUGGAACUCUACAAAUCUUGUUUGUGAGACUCAACCAUUCUUGGAGUUGCUCAAGGCUGAAUAUUUCUGUAACACUCCGUGCAACUUGAAUUUUAUGUACAUUUUUAUCUUGUUACAAUUUUAUAGCUUUUAUUUUUCAUCUGUUUUUUAACCAUUUCAGUAUAAUAAAGGUAUUAUGUGCUUUUUCAA